UAUACGACUCUCGGCAACGGAUAUCUCGGCUCUCGCAUCGAUGAAGAACGUAGCGAAAUGCGAUACUUGGUGUGAAUUGCAGAAUCCCGUGAACCAUCGAGUCUUUGAACGCAAGUUGCGCCCGAGGCCUUUCGGUUGAGGGCACGCCUGCGUGGGCGUCACAC
rnacentral:rRNA from 1 species